rnacentral:rRNA from 1 species
GAUGAACGCUGGCGGCGUGCCUAAUACAUGCAAGUCGAGCGAACGGACGAGAAGCUUGCUUCUCUGAUGUUAGCGGCGGACGGGUGAGUAACACGUGGAUAACCUACCUAUAAGACUGGGAUAACUUCGGGAAACCGUAGCUAAUACCGGAUAAUAUUUUGAACCGCAUGGUUCAAAAGUGAAAGACGGUCUUGCUGUCACUUAUAGAUGGAUCCGCGCUGCAUUAGCUAGUUGGUAAGGUAACGGCUUACCAAGGCAACGAUGCAUAGCCGACCUGAGAGGACGAGCAGCACAAGUGGGACUGAGACACGGUGGAGACUCUUACGGGAGGCAGAAGUGGGGAGUAUUGCACAAUGGGCGCAAGCCUGAAAGCUCAAUGACGAGUGAGUGAAGAAGGUCUACGGAUUGUACAACUCUGUGGUAAGGAACGAAAAGACGCGUAAGAAGAACUGCGAAUCAUGAGGGUACCUAAAGAAAAAGAAACGGAUAACUUCGUG